AUGCGGUCGUAUUUUUGCUCUCCAGGAGCAUCAGAAAAAACCGGGAUGUACCAACACACAGCUCAGCCUUCCCACCUGACCUGCAAGCGCAGUUACGCCGCUAACGCCGCCGCUAAGGCCGCCUCUGCCUCUCGCUUCAACCGCCGGCCCGCGGGAUCCUCCCGUGCCCGCACCGCGCCGCCCAACCGCUCCCGCUCAUCCCGUGCGGAGCGCCCCCCUGCGCCGCCCACCUGCGCGCACCACCGCCGCCGGCCAAAGAGCGCGCCCGCUAACGCCCGCCGAGUCCUUUCAAAUGCAGCCAACGGCAGCGCGCGGCGCCGCGACGCAUUCUGGGGUCGAGCGGGGAUUGGUCGUCGGCGUAAAUAUGGCCGUGCCGAAGGGUCGGACGGGAGCUGUAGUUGUAGUGGCGGUGUGGUGUCUGUGCCGCCCGAGCCCAGCAUGGCGGUGGGCGCUGUGUGCUGUGCAGGUGCUGGCCGAGAUGGGAUCCCCGCUGCUCAGAGCAGCGCCUGGGCCCCUUCGCUUCGCCUCCUCUCCCCGUCCAUCCCCAGGCCUGGCAGGACGAUGUCUGGUCUUUCUGUAACUGUCAGCAAACACCAUGAGACCACAGAGAUGGCUGAGUAUUUUGUUGCUUUAUUACUGGAAGGAGCUGAAGCAUUUGGACGUCAAUCAGCUGAUCAGGUUGAACAGCACAAUACCACGUCAGCUGGUAGAAUAGCAGAAGUGGCCUUUGUUGGAGAAAAUGGUUACAGGAUCUACCUGCAGUUCCAGUGGGAUGCUUUUGGACAGUGUUGUUCAGGUGGAUGGUAUAGCUGGUAA
rnacentral:lncRNA from 1 species